GUUUUUGGAUCCUCACACAUCCCAAGCUCCAGCAUUUCAUCAAGGAGACAUGUCUGCAGGCAGUGUGACAGCUGCUGCCUGGCUCCUGGAGCCUGCCACGCUUUAUUUGGGUCACACAGAGGAUCUUUGCUUCCCCUUGAAGCAGGAAUAAUAAUCGUAACACUGGAAGCAGUAAGUGCAUUGAAUAAGCUGGAGAGCUAAGAGAGAGAAACACUCUCAGCCUGGUGUGACCUCAGCAUGGUGCCAACCCUGGGGCAAACUCUGUCAGCCAAAGGAGCAGCUCCAGAGGUGCCAGUGAAGUCAGACUGCCAUGGGAUCAGAGCCCCACACAGACUUUGGCUGAUGAUCUAACAACUUAUAGACCAAGCAAAUUUAAGGAUAUAGACUAAGUUCAGUCCUCACUGUCAUCUUCAUCAUCA